CAGAAGUUGAGGAACCGUCCUGUUUGUGUGGACUUGAGAGAAACCCUUCAGAACUCCAUCGGUUCCCCAGCCGCUACGCUACAAGCUUCUCCGAAAGCCGCUCAACGGCCACGGUCUCUUGUAGAUACUUUUCAAGACUCUGCACACAAAAGCCCGAUCAUGACUCGACUUUCCUUCUAUUUAUUAUGCGCUGCAACCAUCGCCGCUGUUUUACUGCUAACAUCCAGCGUGUCCGCUGAUCCAGAAGCUGGCAAUUUUCACAGACCCAGAAGAAGUGCCGAUGAAAUAGAAGAACCAACGUUAGUAGACAAGAGGAUAAGAGACUUCCUGGGGAAAAGAAUCCGAGACUUCUUAGGCAAGCGUUUUGACCCAAGAUACAGCCCAUAUGAAAACACACCUGACAAGCGCAUCAGGGAUUUCCUUGGAAAACGAUCGUCAUACGGAUUGGAGAACGAAGAGGACUUGGCCCCUUACGAAAAACGGCUUCGCGACUUCCUGGGCUAAAAUACUAGGCCCCAGGCCUCAACGAGGACUGAAAAAAGGUAAUAUCGUUUUUUAUUAUGUUACCUUUGCACAAACUGUGGACAAAAUAACUUUCAUUAUUUUCGAUACAUCCCUUUGUGAUAUGUCCAGCUGACAAGCUCACCAAAAAUCAAUCUCAACCAGAACUUUUGAAAGAACUGAUCUCUGAUUCCCAGAAACUAUUAUUUUCAUGAUGGAGCCUCUUUCACUCAUACUCUUCAUCGCCAACACAACCUGACAAGGCGGCCACCCUUCCGAACCUCACAGCGAUGAACAGUCAGGCUUGUUUUCCGUGUGUUCCGUCAGAGAUCGGGAUGGCGAUUUACCACAGCAAGGGAUUUUUCGGGAGACCAGUAGCGGGGUUAAUUAUAGCAAGACACUAUUACAUGCACAUUGAUGGAUGGAAACAAAAGAGUGGCGUGACUGGGUUGUUAGUGAACACUGUGCGUCCAGAAGUCGUGUUCAGGUGUGAGAAAACGCUGUACGUCUUUUUGGCGUAGUGUUACUUACCAUGCUUUGAAAGUGGUCCGCAUUAGGAAAGUAAAUCUGACGUGUGCGACACUGAUAAACAGCCUUUGCCCUAUAAAACCCAGGUGGCAAAUUCGGAUCUAAUGAAGAACGGUUCUCUACUAGUCUAGCCAAGGCGAUGAGUGACCAGACGGUGAUGACCCCUAACGAUAUGAGCAGGUCAGAUAACGUCCUGGAGGAGACAUGGCAGCUGGUCAGCUUCGGUCAUCGCGCGGACAUACAUCUAAAUCUCACCCAUCUUUCUCUUUUCUAACAUCCAGAUGGUUUAACCAGCGAGAUGGUUUAUUUACUAACUAAUCAUACGUAAACACGACUAUAUCUUUUACUAUUUAUUUGGACUCUUUUUCUUAUUCACUUUUUAUUCAGUAGACACUUAAUUUUUAAUUCCAUGAGAAAUCUUUUGGGCGAUUAUAUUCCAAUGUAAACUCGUUAUUCUUAAUGCAUUAUUUAGUGUUUGAUCCGCAUGGAUUUUUUUAAUGUUAUUAAGGCACAUUUUGGAUGUUUGUUUCUCUUCCAAAGAUUUUUUUGAAAAAAGUGAACGAUAACAGCUUUUAAAAAGUUAUUUGAUUCCUGAUAAUGAAAAAGGAAGCAGAUGGAGGUUUUAUCUCUAACUGCGCAAUGACCAUGAUUUUUAAGCAGUUUUACAUCAUGAAGUGUUUUUUUUUUCAUGUGUUUUGUCAUGUUUAUUCUAGCUUGAAUCAGUGCCACAUAGUCACCCCUUCUAAACUAUUAAGUAUUUAUGCCCAUUUAAUCAAGUUUUAAUAAAAACAAAUGUUGUUUUGCAAUUA